rnacentral:rRNA from 1 species
AUGGCUUCCCAGCUCUCCGCCAUGACCUCCGUGCCGCAGUUCCACGGCCUCAGGAGCUACUCCUCGCCCAGGUCCAUGGCGACGCUGCCGUCCUUGAGGAAGAGGUCCCAGGGCAUCCGCUGCGACUACAUCGGCUCCUCCACCAAUAUCAUCAUGGUGACCACGACGACCCUGAUGCUGUUCGCCGGGCGGUUCGGGCUGGCGCCGUCGGCGAACAGGAAGGCGACGGCGGGGCUCAAGCUGGAGGCGCGCGAGUCCGGGCUGCAGACGGGCGACCCGGCCGGCUUCACUCUCGCCGACACGCUCGCAUGCGGCUCCUUCGGCCACAUCUUGGGCGUCGGCAUCGUGCUCGGCCUCAAGAACACCGGCGUCCUCGACCAGAUCAUCGGCUAG